GCGUCGGUAGCGCAACGGCUUACAGCUCGCACCCUAGAAGAGGGUGGGAUGCGGGUUCGAGUCCCGCCUGACGCA